UAUGCCUCCGAAUAACGGAACGGUGAUACAUUAACAUCGUUUGGUUCAGACAGGGGCACAUAUCAAAUGCUAAACACCUGAAUUUGUUUGUCUUUAUGGAAUGAUGCUAUUGUUUUCUUCCUUACCAGACUAAUUCGGAUAUUU